rnacentral:rRNA from 1 species
GGAUCAUUACAGAGUUUCGUACUCCAAACCCUUUGUGAACAUACCUGUUUUCGUUGCUUCGGCAGGUGAAGGCGGAUGGCCUCCGGGCCUCCCGCCGCCGCCGGGUCCGGGAAACCGGCCGGGUGGGCCUGCCGGAGGGCACAGACUCUUGUAUUAAACGUACCUCUCUGAGUUAUCUUUUACAAACAAGUAAAAACUUUCAACAACGGAUCUCUUGGUUCUGGCAUCGAUGAAGAACGCAGCGAAAUGCGAUAAGUAAUGUGAAUUGCAGAAUUCAGUGAAUCAUCGAAUCUUUGAACGCACAUUGCGCCCGCCAGUAUUCUGGCGGGCAUGCCUGUCCGAGCGUCAUUUCAACCCUCAGGCCCUGGUUGCCUGGUGUUGGGGCGCCGCGCACCCCUAGCGGGCGCGGGCCCCGAAAGUCAGUGGCGGGCUCGCCAGGACUCCGAGCGCAGUAAUAUUGCCUCGCUGCGGAGCGCCUGGUGGGUUACCCAGCCGUAAAACACCCCAAAUUCUAAAGGUUGACCUCGGAUCAGGUAGGAAUACCCGCUGAACUUAAGCAUAUCAAUAAGCGGAGGAAAAGAAACCAACAGGGAUUGCCCUAGUAACGGCGAGUGAAGCGGCAACAGCUCAAAUUUGAAAUCUGGCUUCGGCCCGAGUUGUAAUUUGUAGAGGAUGCUUCUGGCGCGGUGCCUUCUGAGUUCCCUGGAACGGGACGCCAUAGAGGGUGAGAGCCCCGUACGGUUGGACACCAAGCCUGUGUGAAGCUCCUUCGACGAGUCGAGUAGUUUGGGAAUGCUGCUCAAAAUGGGAGGUAUAUCUCUUCUAAAGCUAAAUACCGGCCAGAGACCGAUAGCGCACAAGUAGAGUGAUCGAAAGAUGAAAAGCACCUUGAAAAGGGGGUUAAACAGCACGUGAAAUUGUUGAAAGGGAAGCGCCUAUGACCAGACUUGUGUCCGGCGGAUCACCCAGCGUUCUCGCUGGGGCACUCCGCCGGGUCCAGGCCAGCAUCGGUUUCCGCCGGGGGAUAAAGGCUUGGGGAACGUAGCUCCUCCGGGAGUGUUAUAGCCCCUUGUGUAAUAUCCUGGCGGGGACCGAGGUACGCG